rnacentral:rRNA from 1 species
AGCUCCAAUAGCGUAUAUUAAAGUUGUUGCAGUUAAAAAGCUCGUAGUUGGAUUUCUGGUACUUUGCGCUUGGCCCGUACUUUAAUCGGUGCGCGUGUCGAUGUGCGAAUGCCAUCCUUCCAGUUAGCCAUCUACUCUUCACGGAGCGGGUGGGGAUCUGGAUCUUUUACUUUGAAAAAAUUAGAGUGUUUAAAGCAGCUUUGCGUUGAAUACAUUAGCAUGGAAUAAUAAUUUAGGACUUUAUUCUUAUUUUAUUGGUUUCUAGGAGUGAAGUAAUGAUUGAUAGGGAUAGUUGGGGGUGCUAGUAUUCAGCGGCCAGAGGUGAAAUUCUUGGAUUCGCUGAAGACUAACUAAUGCGAAAGCAUUCACCAAGGAUGUCUUCU